rnacentral:rRNA from 1 species
UACAGAGGUCUCAAGCGUUGUUCGGAUUCAUUGGGCGUAAAGGGUGUGUAGGUGGCGCCGUAAGUCGGGUGUGAAAUUUCGAGGCUUAACCUCGAAACUGCAUUCGAUACUGCGGUGCUUGAGGACUGGAGAGGAGACUGGAAUUCAUGGUGUAGCAGUGAAAUGCGUAGAUAUCAUGAGGAAGACCAGCGGCGAAGGCGGGUCUCUGGACAGUUCCUGACACUGAGACACGAAGGCCAGGGGAGCAAACGGG